rnacentral:rRNA from 1 species
GAUGAACGCUGGCGGCGUGCUUAACACAUGCAAGUCGAACGGUGAAGGCGGAGCUUGCUCUGCUGGAUCAGUGGCGAACGGGUGAGUAACACGUGAGCAAUCUGCCCCUGACUCUGGGAUAAGCGCUGGAAACGGCGUCUAAUACUGGAUACGAGCUGCGAAGGCAUCUUCAGCAGCUGGAAAGAAUUUCGGUCAGGGAUGAGCUCGCGGCCUAUCAGCUUGUUGGUGAGGUAAUGGCUCACCAAGGCGUCGACGGGUAGCCGGCCUGAGAGGGUGACCGGCCACACGGGGACUGAGACACGGCCCAGACUCCUACGGGAGGCAGCAGUGGGGAAUAUUGCACAAUGGGCGAAAGCCUGAGGCAGCAACGCCGCGUGAGGGACGACGGCCUUCGGGUUGGAAACCUCUUUUAGCAGGGAAGAAGCGAAAGUGACGGUACCUGCAGAAAAAGCGCCGGCUAACUACGU